rnacentral:lncRNA from 1 species
CUAGUCUGCUGUUUGAUUGUAAUAAGGCAUGAACUGAUGAGUAGCAGAUGAAGAAUGAACAGACUAGAUGAGGGUAUCGUUCCCUUCAUAUCUCAUGCAGAAACACUAAAAUAUCAGGAUCAGUGCAGCUGCAGGAACAAGUGUGUCAAUCUUUUGCUCCCUUCAACUUACGCCCCAAAAAAGGAAAAACUAAGACAAACAGUACCAUGAAAACAUUGACUGUGCAGGUCGAAACAUGAUGUGAACCUUGGAUUUAAUGAGAGCUUGAGUGUUUGGCAGCAGUAGCCUCCAGCAGACAGGAUCAGGAGGAACUUCACACACAUGUAGACACUUCCUAAGACCUGCGCUUUGACCUGUGGUCACCGGGAUCCAUGCGUGACAGCUUGGAAGAACAAUGGGAAAGUUUAAUAAGAGAAAAUACGAUGCAGAAUCGAGGGCUGUAGAGUCGUCAGAGAUAACACAUCAACUGAGGAGAGCUCGGAGGAAGAGGAAACCCAUGAAGAGGAAGAGGAAAGAGAAUCAGGUUGACAUCUGAUCACUCUAUAUAAUCUUUUCUGGUGAACUAGAAAGCACGCUGAUGCUUAAUAAUCUACUAGAAUAUUAGUAAUGCAUCUGAACAGUAAUGUAUCUUGCAGUUUUACUUGGUAUGUUUUGUCGUAUGUCUGAACAAAACCUGAGUGCCUCUAUCUUUUAAACAGAAGAUGAAUUGCACUGAAAGCCUAAGAUACAGUAAGAAUCACAGUAACGGACAACAAGAGACUGUAGUAUCAUUUUAUUUUAAGAUGAAGCUUUCAGCGGUCAGUCUUAUUGAUCUUGAGUGAAGGAUAAAACAUAAUGCUACAUUUUCACGCUUUUCCAGACUCCGACACGAGACCCAGAGCAGAACAUCACAGUGACGAGCAGCGUCAGGCCAGCUGUGAGAAGUGUAAAGCUCUGAAGAAUCCCAAAUAUGAGCUGGUCACCCCCAGGAAAUUGUCUCAAGAUCGGCUACAGUAGGUUCUUGUUCUCCGUACUGUACAUAUGUCCUCAGCGCAGUAGCGUGAUCAGUCACAUCUGACUCUGCGGUCUAAACCUGACUAGUCUAAAAUUCUUCUCUGCACUGCCAGGUUUAUAAAAAUGUCAAAUGUGUCAUUUCUGCUGCAUGGUAUUAUUCCCCAA